GACGACAUCACAGCUAACCACCUGACAUUCAGAAAGAGAUGCUGAGAUGACGUUCCGAAGGAGAUUGCAGAGGCUAUUCGUAUUGCAGUGCAGACCACUCGUAAGAAUGGUCUCAGAUAUCAGUAGAUGAAACUACCUCCACAUAUACUACUUUCACAAUGCAAUUUAUUCUAAAUAGCUCCACAUAAAUUCUAUAUUUCAGCCCUCCGACCCUAUUCACUAGCGUCUUAUUUCUCCCACCCUGUCCACCGGUGCCCCCUUUCUCCUCAGCCCAUUGACCGGCGCCGAUCCCACUCCCAUCCCCCUCAACCGGCGGGCGGCGGCGCCCCCUCCCGUCCUCCUCGGGGCGACGUCGGUCGGUGGAGCUCGUGCGGUGGAGGCGGGCGCUGCGGGCAAAUCGAUGCCGCUGAGGCUUGCGUCGAUCGACGGUGCUCGAGGACGGUGAAAGGGAUGGAGCUACAAGGACCACACACGGGAUACGAGCUGAGCGGCGUCUCUGACGAGGAGUGCAUGCCUUCUGCAGGGCGCGGACGGCUUCGCAGGGAUGCGGUCCCGUCCGAGGUAGCGAGCUAGAGCUAGCGUGCAGAGCUAGAGCCACCCCCGCCAGCUCACAGUCACUGCAGUGUGAAUGGCGUGAGAAAUAUAUCUUACCAUGUUCAGAUAAUGGAGGUGCCAUGAAAUGUCACUGUGAGUACUGAACCGACGGUGUACGGUAAUGAUGUUAGGGUACUGCUGCUGUUGGUGCGUGCUGGAUGGCAUCGUUCCGGCCAGUAGCAUGAGUUUGGUGCAGCUACAGAUACAGAUGAAUUUAGUUCAAUUGCAGUCAUGGAUACAGAGAUACAUGCAUACAGCAGCACUAUGAAACUUUGAGUUGAGGUGCAGCAUCUGCAGCAACGCUGAGCUGGAGCAGAGCAGCUUUGGUUUGCAACUUGCAACAUCGAGCAUGGGCCAAAUGUUGCAUAUGAACAGGAAAGGCGUCAGAAAUUCAUUGAUAGGGGCGCGUAGAUCAUCUUGAACAGCAACAGUUGUUCCUCUCAAAAUAGUCCGAACUAUGAUAAGGAGAUUUGCUUUGACAAAUGUCAGGAAAAAACAUUGUUUUGUGUAUUGGAUCAUUGUGUUGUGAGCUGAUAACAGUACCGAGGCCGCGUUCUGCAGUAUGGGUACCUGUCCUUACCCGAACGUGGCCCGAGUUUGUCAACCAUGGCCACCACGAACAUCCUUACCAGCCGCGGCAGCACACUUCAUCUCUCCUCCUGCCCAUAAACCUCACCACAAAAUGUUAAAGCCGAGCUGGUGGGAAUCUUUUCAUUCAAAGCCAAACUAUGUAUGCUCGGCGGCGCAGACGUCAACCGAGGAGAAUGGAGAGAGCGUCGACAAAUUGACGGCAGGGGGAGCAAGAAGCAAGCGUAGAUGUGUGCGUGCAAAGGCAGCCGGCCAAGUGAGGAGGGGUGGAUGGAGCAGAGAGGAUGGGAGCAGCUGCCCGCGGCCGCGGAGGCGGAGAAGACGCGAGCACUGAUUUCCUAUCUGCAGUGAACGCGUCAAUGCGCUGGGACGCAAUGAAGCUAGUAGAAGGCUUUCUGCUGAUCGAACGGUAGGCAGAGCAACGAACGAAAAUCUAAUGAUAUUGGUGGGCUACUGUAGUUUCUACAGUAAAUUGAGUCUUUAAACGAAGUACAGGUGUCAUGGCAAGGCACAACAGAGGCCCUUUCACCGGGAAUCAAUAUUUUAUAAAGAUGAGACAGUUCAUUAAAUCACUGUUUGAAAGCAUUUGAUCUGACGAUGACCAAAUGACUGACUGACUUUAAGGAAAAUGACAAAUUGCGUUUGAGAUCCCUCUUCUAGAUUGGGCCCAACUUGGUUAGGGCCAUCCAUCAUCAACCAGUAUAGCACGUCUCCUUUUAGCUUGCAACUAAUAAAAAAACAGUUUGGUUUGUUUUUUGCUCGCUUUUGC